CCUCCACCCAAGCCGGCCCAUUAGCCUAGCCCGCACCCACCAGCUCUAACCCUAGCCGCCAGGAGCCCGAUCCCCUCUCUCUCGAUCUCACCUUCUCCCUCGGGCUGCCACCCCCAGAGACCACACGCCCGCGCCCAAUCUCCUCACCCCUCCAUGCCUUUGCUUCGCCCCCUCCUCUGCUCCCUUAGCCAUGGCGCUUCGGCGCCCUUGUCUCGCCCGCACCGGCGACCAGCAGCAGGUCGCUCCUCUGCGCCACCCCUCCUCUACCAGGGCCUCCCUCCUUCUGCCCCGCCACUCAUCCUGCUUCUCCUCGUCGCCACCAACCCGCCUCGACCACGCCGCCGGCAGCAGCAGCAGCUGCUGCACCAUCUCGCUGACGCCGCGCCCGGACCUUCCCGCGCGCCUCCCUCUGCAGCACCAGGCCGCGACCGCGCCGCCUCCUCGCCAAGUCCCUGUCGCCCGAGCACUGAAGGAGAGGAGCUCCUCGAGCACCUGCGCCCGCAUCCAUCGUCCCCGGCACCCAGCAGGAGCCUCGCGUCGCUCGUCCCCUUCGUUUUGAUCGGAGCUCGCCGGAGCCCCAACAACGGUCGCCUUGCACCCGCAAGCACCACCACCUCCAGCGCGCCUCGAGCCUCCUCCUGAUCCGGAGGUCCUUGUCGUGCCCCUGCCUCACUGCGUUCAGCGCCGGAGUUCCUCUACCGACGCCUUCGAUCCAUCACCUCGCAAAGGAGAGGAUCAGCAGUACAAGCCGCAUCGAGCCACGGCAAAAACCUGCUGCGUUGACCAAGGCCCUGCUCAAGCCAUCAAGAUCGGCAAGGCUGACUACACGGAACGCCAAGUACCACGACGACCAUCGACAUGUACCCCUACACCGCACCGAAACACCGAGUUCCUCUCCGAACAUGUGUACGACUACCAUGGUCGACGACUCAUACACCACAACCAUUUCCGAAGAAACGUGUUACGGAACCGUCAAGUUCGACUAUCAAUCAUGUACGACUAUGCGGGAUUCCUCGGACGCCAAGUUCAAUGAUGCGUCAAGUUCCUCGCCGUGACCCCGAACAUCUACGGAAACUUGUGCGGCUAUGAACGUGAACGACUACCGUUGCCUCGAAAAUGUUGGAUCCGUCAAGUACCUCUCCGAAAACGAACGUGUACCACUACUUCUACUACCGUUGCGAGAACGACUACUUCCACUGUGACCCGUCAACGACUACUUCCCUCGACGUUUUUGAACCGCCUUGAAAUGCAUGCUUCGGAGGUAUACCGCUGAGACGAUCACUGUAGACAGAUGCUUGUUGUA